CUGGGCUCUAAAACAGUUAAGCAUAUAGGCUAGAUAUUAAUUUUGGAAGAGACACUGUGAGCCAAUUGUGAACAUGUAGUUAUGCAUAGACCCUCUCCUUAACUGGGUCAGUCCUUAUUAAAGCAAGUAUGAAAAACAUGCCUAAUGCAUUCAGUCAUGCUUGAAUUUCCAAAGAAGUCCUAAAAUAAAAUGUGCUUCUGGUGGACAUUUUCUAAAGCAAAACAAAAUAUUGAUAAUGCAUUUGUUGGUAAGAUUAAGAUACCAGCAUUUCACAUAUUAUUCAGUAAAUUCUAAUAGAAGUCAUGGAAAUUUUGUGAAUUGGCUUCUAAAAUAAAGACAGUGAAUAAUUUAGAAGUGCAUCUUUAAAUACCACUUGAACCAAAACCCAGUAGUUCAGAUGUGAAAAUAAUAUGUUGUAUAAUGAUACAGAUUUUUUAGAGAUCUGCAGGAACUGCAGAACUGGACUUGGAAUCUACAUAUGAAGCUCAAAUACACAAGGAAGUAGAUUCCUAGUAAAAACAAACAGCGGCAUAUUGUUAAAUGUAAAAAUGGAAACCUUCUUCCUAAGAAAUAAGACAAAUAGGGUGCAUCCUAGAAUCAGCCAAAUGAACUGUGGGUGGAAUAGAACUGCAAAACAUAAGAGUGGCAGUUAUUUAGCCAGACAACACAAAUGACAAAGGAUAGGAAAGGGAAGAUCUUUAGAAGGAACCUCAUAUCCUCAUCAAGUGACCCGGUCUCCCCUUCCUGACCUCUAAUAUGAAAAAGCACAAGAGAUAUUUUUAAAAAUGUGUUCAUGAAUAUUGGAAACCUUGGUUACGACCAGCUGUAAGUCAAACCCCAGUGUAACAUGUGGAAUAAAAAUAAGUUUCUACCAGGAUCUGCCACUUGUAACUUUUGGAAAGUUAAUUAACCUCUUGAACUUCUUUGCAUGGCUGUACAACAAGGACUGUAAUCGCUACCUCAUGACAGGUCGGGGUGAAAGGCCACCAUGGUGGGCACUCAUUCAGUGGCACUUUUUCUUCCUAUUGCUGUGUAUGAGGUUGUUUCAAACCCUGCAGUAACUCUGUUUAUUGAUAUUCUAUUUCCCUCACAGAUAAAAGCUUUAACAACGCUAUUUCCCCCAAGCCCACUGUUUUUCUUCCUUCAGUGGCUGAAACAAACCUCCAUAAGACUGGGACAUAUCUUUGUCUUCUGGAGAAUUUUUUCCCUGAUGUGAUUAAGGUAUAUUGGAAGAGAACAGAUGACAAUAGGAUUCUGGAAGCCCAGCAGGGAGAUACCAUGAAGACUAAUGACACUUAUAUGAAGUUUAGCUGGUUAACUGUGACUGGAGAUUCCAUGACUAAAAAGCACAAAUGUAUCGUCAAACAUGAGGCUAAUGGAGGGGUUGAUCAAGAGAUUCUCUUUGAUCCCGUAAAGGAAGUUGUGACUAUUGAUUCUGAAGUUUGUUUCAAACAUAAGACUGGUUUGCUGCACCUGCAGCUCACCAGCACCUCUGCCUACUAUACCUACCUCCUGCUGCUGCUCAAGAGCGCCCUCCACGGGGGCCUCGUCGUCUUCUGUCUGCUUAGAGGGUCUCCUGUCUGCUGUGAAGCCAAGAGCGCCUGACAGAUGAGGCACGCGGGCCAUGGUGUCUCCACCGUUUCCUGUCCCCAGCAGCACCUGCGGAGGGUCUGCUGAGCUUGCUGAGCUCGGGCUCCUGAAGGCCACGUGCGCAUUAUUCUGUCAUUUUCCCAUAAAGGCUUCCCAAACAGUGGGCAAACGGGGCGACUUCACGCUGCCCCAGGAUGCAGCCCAUGCCGCCUGAACCCCGUCCCUCCAGGGCUCCCACAGCGCGUUCAGCCGGCCAGGUCCUCACAGGCUC